rnacentral:lncRNA from 1 species
CUCCUUUUCACUGUAGCCUGCCUAGGCUGCUCUGAGCUUUCUCCAAGCACAGGUCUCACCAAGCAUGUUUUGUCUCAGGAACUUAUCAGCUUCAUUUGAGUAAAGGGCCGCUGACCUGAGCUGAGCUUUUGUAUUCACAGGCCCAGGAGCAGUGACCUCUGAUGCCAAGGGAAGGAAGAGGCAACUUCAGCCAAGGGAGUGGGCAAAAAGAGCAUGCUCAGCUACGUCCUUGGGCGUGCAAGAGCCCAGAAGACGCGGUCAGGAGCAGCCGAAUCGGAUUUUUUGGGAGUGCGAGAGCCCAGAGGACGCAGUCAAGAACAGCCGAAUCAGAUUUAGUCGAGGAUGAGACAGCUUCUGCCAGAGCUGAGGCCUGGGGACUGAUUUCCAGGGAGUGGGUGAUCCAGGAGCAGGGCGGGAUGUCCCUCUUCUGGGACCAUGAUGAUGGACUCUGAAGCAGAGGGUGUCAGAGUGUGAGACCCUUAUCCGAGCUCCUCUUAGAAUGAAGCUCUUUCCUGCUUCUAUUUUUUAAGUGAUAAAAAUGAAUAUACAUACAGAAAAGUGCAUCGGACCUUUUAUAUAAUAACAACUAUAAAGCUAUCACCCAUGUACUCAUCACUCCCAACAAAAGUGCAACAUCGGGGCACCUGGGUGGCUCAGUCGGUUAGGCAUCUACCUUCAGCUCAGGUCAUGAUACCAGGGUCCUGGGACUGAGCCCCAUGUUGGGCUCCCUGCUCUCAGGGAAUCUGCUUCUCCCUCUUCUCCCUGCUCGUGCUCUCGCUCACUACUGCUCUCUCAAAUAAAUAAAUAAAAUCUUUUUUUUUUAAGUUUAAC